UACGGAGGGAGCUAGCGUUGUUCGGAAUUACUGGGCGUAAAGCGCACGUAGGCGGCUCAGCAAGUCAGGGGUGAAAUCCCGGGGCUCAACCCCGGAACUGCCCUUGAAACUGCUAAGCUAGAAUCUUGGAGAGGCGAGUGGAAUUCCGAGUGUAGAGGUGAAAUUCGUAGAUAUCGGGAGGAACACCAGUGGCGAAGGCGGCGAUCUGGGAAGAUACUGACGCUGAGGUGCGAAAGCGUGGGGAGCAAACAGG
rnacentral:rRNA from 1 species